UACGAAGGGUGCAAGCGUUACUCGGAAUUACUGGGCGUAAAGGGUGCGUAGGUGGUUGUUUAAGUCUGUUGUGAAAGCCCCGGGCUCAACCUGGGAAUGGCAAUGGAUACUGGACAGCUAGAGUGCGGUAGAGGGGGGUGGAAUUCCGCGUGUAGCAGUGAAAUGCGUAGAGAUGCGGAGGAACACCGAUGGCGAAGGCAGCCCCCUGGGUCGACACUGACGCUCAGGCACGAAAGCGUGGGGAGCAAACAGG
rnacentral:rRNA from 1 species